UACGGAGGGUGCAAGCGUUAUCCGGAUUCACUGGGUUUAAAGGGCGCGUAGGUGGGCAGGUAAGUCAGUGGUGAAAUCUCCGGGCUUAACCCGGAAACUGCCGUUGAUACUAUUUGUCUUGAAUAUAGUGGAGGUGAGCGGAAUAUGUCAUGUAGCGGUGAAAUGCUUAGAUAUGACAUAGAACACCAAUUGCGAAGGCAGCUUGCUACGAUAUUAUUGACACUGAGGCACGAAAGCGUGGGGAUCAAACAGG
rnacentral:rRNA from 1 species